rnacentral:tRNA from 1 species
UGUGGCUGUGGCUUAGUGGUGGUGCACUUGCCUGGCAUGUGUGAGGUACUGGGUUCAAUUCUCAGCACCACAA